CCUACGGGAGGCAGCAGUGGGGAAUAUUGCACAAUGGGGGAAACCCUGAUGCAGCGACGCCGCGUGAGUGAAGAAGUAUUUCGGUAUGUAAAGCUCUAUCAGCAGGGAAGAAAAUGACGGUACCUGAUUAAGAAGCCCCGGCUAACUACGUGCCAGCAGCCGCGGUAAUACGUCGGGGGCAAGCUUUAUCCGGAUUUACUGGGUGUAAAGGGAGCGUAGACGGCAGCACAAGUCUGGAGUGAAAUGCCGGGGCUGAACCCCGGAACUGCGUUGGAAACUGUGCAGCUAGAGGGCAGGAGAGGUAAGUGGAAUUCCUAGUGUAGCGGGGAAAUGCGUAGAUAUUAGGAGGAACACCAGGGGGGAAGGCGGCUUACUGGACUGAAACCGACGUUGAGGCUCGAAAGCGUGGGGAGCAAACAGGAUUAGAUACCCGGGUAGGC
rnacentral:rRNA from 1 species